rnacentral:rRNA from 1 species
UACGGAGGGGGCUAGCGUUGUUCGGAAUUACUGGGCGUAAAGCGCGCGUAGGCGGCUUUGUAAGUUAGAGGUGAAAGCCCGGAGCUCAACUCCGGAACUGCCUUUAAGACUGCAUCGCUAGAAUCAUGGAGAGGUGAGUGGAAUUCCGAGUGUAGAGGUGAAAUUCGUAGAUAUUCGGAAGAACACCAGUGGCGAAGGCGGCUCACUGGUCCGGUACUGACGCUGAGGUGCGAAAGCGUGGGGAGCAAACAGG